AAAUUAAACGAGGCGAAAUCGGAACGAGCCGAACGGAACCGGGGCAUAACCGUUAGCUGGAAGCGGCGAAUCAGCUUUCAGUCGCCCCGAGCCGGCCAGCAACAACAAACAGCUGCAGCAAGGAGACGAAGACGACGACGACAACGGCGACGACGAGCCUUCCUCUCGGCCCACAGCUGUGCAAGGAGGUGGCGUGGGGGAGCAGCGCUGCGCCAGGCAGCCACCCAGCCAGCCCCAGCUGGAAAUUCCAAUAACAGCAGCAGCUGAAAACUGGAGUUACCGACUGACGGACGCCGCUGUCGCUGUCGCAGUCGAUGGCGCUGCCGCUGUGGCUGUUGCUGUUGCUGGCGUCGUGGUCGUAGUCGUCGCUUCGUGGUGCCACUUGGCUCGUCCGUAGAAUCAGUCGUCGUCGAGCUUUCAAAACGUUUGCAGCAAACGGGAGAACACACGCCAGGGAUCGAAAUCCAACCAAGAGCCCCCCAGCCAGCGCCAGCAGAGCAGCCAAAAAGCAGGAGACACACAGAUACUACUGAGAGAUAGAAAGAGAGAGAGAGAGAGCGAGAGAGAUAGAGUCAAAUAUCCGAGGAUUGAUGGAAAGAGUGUCGCCGUGCAAACGCGGAGAGAGCUAAAAGCGAAAAGUCCAACUGAGAAUCAAUCUAGCC